UGCUUACUUUGUUAUUUCUUGAUUUUUCACUUUUAUACAUUAUCUAUCAGUUCUUAUGGCUUUGAACAGAAGAUGAGGAUUUAGAUCCCUUUGUUCCUCAUUCCCACCACACCUGUGUACCUUUUCCAUGCACUUAUUUUUCCACUCUGGUUAUAUUAUCCUUUUUUUGAAAAAGUAAUCAGUGUUCACAUUAUUAUAAGGAAUAUUCACAGGUUUGCCAUGUAGCAAAUUAUUGUUACUUUUUCCUUCUUGCAUAUUGCUUUGUUCAUACCGUUGGGGCCAUCAUCCCACUUGAUGUCUCUUAGUUUGUUUUAAUAAUAAUAAUGGCCACAUUCACUGUCAGUAUGCCCCAGUUUGGAAAGCAUGCUAUUCAAUAUAAAGUCUUUGUCAAUUAUCUGGGAUAUUCUAGCUAUUACAUUGUACUUGAGGAAACUUCUUUCAGAGUCUUUGGACUGUUCAAGUUGGAACCAGUUGUCCUCUAUGCCGGGACACAGCAGUCAUAUUCUGGGAUCGCUAUUUGCAUUAUGUGGUUGAGUCCCUCAGACCUUUCUUACGUUGAUCUUCUUUUCAUGCAUUCUGCAUCUUCCUUCUUCUUGAUUCAUUCCCUCCUUUUAACAGCCUGGGAGCUUCUGUUUUUUACCUUAUGCACUCCCAUCACUUUUAUUUUUAAGUGCAAGGAACCAAUUUGUGGAAGAAAAGACUAAAUGAAGUAAUAUAAUAUUUGACUCUUUAUAGAAUUUCAAAUUCCAACAUACUAGCAUCCUUCUUAAUCCAUUAUCUUUUUUUCAUGUCACUUCACCCCUGCUCUCAUCCAUAUUUUCUGGCAUAGAUGGAGGGACUCCUGAGAGUUAACAGAGUUAACAGCUUGGAGGGCUGCACAAAGUCAAGCUUCUUUUGUUGUGAAUACAGUCCAGAGAUCUGGGAGAGAUUAUUACAGACACCACACCAGCAAUGAAGCUGUUUUCUCUCUCCUUAGAGGAGGGUGUGUAAUCACUGAGCACCAUGAAAGUUCUAGUGGAAUCCAGCCACACCUACCACGUCUGAGGGGCUUGUCCUGUAGAUCUGCAGUGGAUAUCUGGUCCUUAACAUAUGGGUGCUGCCUUAUGCCUUUGAGAUGCCUUUGUUGCAAAAAACCAAGUGCCUGAAUUUCUUUUAGGGUCCUUGGAGACAUUUGGAGCAGAUUAAAUUUCCUAAAGCUGUAAUCUAAUGAUUGGAAUAAAACUUUUUGACUCAGGAUCUCUUUCUUUCUGUUUAAAUUGUACUUUAACUUUAAUGAAAAUAAUCAUGUGCAUAGUUUAAAAUGUCAAAUAGGCUAUGAUGAAGAAAAGCAGUUACUUCUUUCAAAUUUCCCAUCUCAUGAAAACUGUGUUGUAGGUAAUACCACAUUGAACCCUUUAGUUAUUUCUCCUUUUUAAAAAAUAGCACACUUUCACUUCCUUUUCUUGAUUUUCAUUUAGAUGUUAUCUAAUAAUUUUCUAUUGUAGAAUAUUAGGAUUUAUGUGAUUCCACUUUCCUCAACACAUUCUCCCUUUCCCAAAAUAUUUAAAUCACAAUUUUUGGUUAAGUCAAUGUUCAGAGUUUAUUAUGAUCACGUAAUUAUUUUCAGAAGUGCAUCACAUGGUGGUUGGGAGAUAAUUCUCCAUGGGUCUUUUACAUUCUGCACAGCCUUGGAAGAUAGCGGUAGUUUCUUCCUCUAGGGCACAGGACCCGUUUGUUUGCUGUCCAGUAUGGUAAAGAGAAUGUCUCCCUCCUGGGCAAAGGUCAUGCAGGCUUGCUUUCAGCCCAUUAGAAAGGCCUGGGGUUCCCUGAGCUCAGUGUUCCUCACCUGUGGUGCAAACCCGCUGCAUGUGCAGCAUCCACCUGGGCCACACUUGUCACCCUCAUGAGACAUGGAGGGCACAGGGAGCCAGGGUGACUGUGAAGCUCAUGCUGCCUGCUGCUUUGUGAGUAAUAAAAUCCUUUGCCUCUGGUCUAGGAGACUUGUGUCUUUUACCAGCAUCCAUAAACUGUGGCAGGCUAAUUUGUCGACUUGCAAGUAGGGCAAAGUCUCAGACUCUCAUUAGUUCUUUGUAAUCAUAAACUGGCUUCAUUUCCUUCCCAGUACUCUUGACAAAUUUCUCAGACUUAAUUCCUGCUUUUGUUUUUUUCAUGCUAUGUUUGAAACCCCUGAUGAGAUGCACUGAGAAAAGCACACCAUGAUUUCCAUGGUGUUCCUGUCAAGGUUACAUAACCUGCAUCUGACCCUGAGACAUGCUGCGAGGGUCAUCCUACAGAAUAUGAAACCUAUACUCUUUAAAACUGGUGCAAAUCUAAUGCCUUCAGAAGCCCAUGGUUCCUCUAUUGAUGGAUAUGUUCAGAGUUUCUGUGGCAUAACUCAGCUGACAUAUAGUUGGCAUUUUCUUCUUCAGUUGCCAUGUUGUGAAGAUAUUCAAGCAGCUCUACAGAGGGGCCUGGAACUGAGCCUGUUUUCCAACAACCACCAGGGAAAUGAGACUUCCCGCCAGUAGCUGUGUAAAUGAGCCGUGGUGGCUCCUCCAGCCUCAGUGCGCAUCCCGGCCCCGACGACAACCUCAGGAGAGGUUCUGAGACAUACCCAGCUAAGCCCCUCUGGGAUUUCCAACACAUGGAAAUGGUGCAAUAAUAAAUGUUCAAAACACUGAUUUGUUAGGCAGCUA